UAGCCUGCCCUCUGAGGAUUUAAAUGGCCGCGGUAUUUUGACCGUGCUAAGGUAGCAUAAUCAUUAGUUUCUUAAUUAGAAGCUGGAAUGAAUGGUUGGAUAAAAAAAUUUCUGUCUCUAUUUAAACAUUAAAAAUUUAUUUUUUAGUUAAAAAGCUAAAAUUAAUUUAAAAGACGAGAAGACCCUAUAGAGUUUCAUAUUUAAAAAUUUUAAUUUUUUUUUAGUAUAAAAAUUUUUAAUUUUUUUAAUUAUUUAAUUGGGGUGAUUGAAAAAUUAAUUGAACUUUUUUUAAAUUUAAAUCAUUAAUUUAUGUAUACUUGAGCUAUUAGUAAUAAUUGUAAGAUUUAAUUACCUUAGGGAUAACAGCGUAAUAUUAUCAAAGAGUUCUAAUCGAAGAUAAAGAUUGCGACCUCGAUGUUGGAUUAAAAUUAAUUUUUGGUGUAGAAGCUGGGGAUAUUAGGUCUG
rnacentral:rRNA from 1 species